AGGGAAAAGAGAAUGUGGGUGGCCGGAGUCCCAUUUUCCAUCAAGAAAUCACAAAAACCCGCGAGGAACAACUCUCUACAGGAUCUUUGAAGAAGUUUGGCUGAAACCUCGAUUCGAAGGCAGGAACCCGAGAAUCGUCUGAGAACGGGAUCUAAUUUAAAGAAAUCAGUAUUUUUGGGCACCUC